AAAGGUCUUAGUUUAAUAAAAAUGUCUGAGUUGCAUUCAGGAAAUGUAAGUUAAUAUCUUGCAGAUCUU
rnacentral:tRNA from 1 species